CAAUAGCGUAUAUUAAAGUUGUUGCAGUUAAAAAGCUCGUAGUUGGAUUUCUGGGAGGGCGCCAAUGUCCGCUGUUGCGUGUGCAGCGGCGCCCUUCCAUCCUUCUGUUAACGUUUCUUGGUAUUCAGUUACUGGUUUCGGGCUCAGAUAUUUUACCUUGAGAAAAUUAGAGUGUUUCAGGCAGGCUUGCGCCGGAAUACAUUAGCAUGGAAUAAUAGAAUAGGACUUUAGUCUCUCUUGUUGGUUUAGGGACUGAAGUAAUGAUUAAUAGGGAUAGUUGGGGGCAUUAGUAUUUAAUUGUCAGAGGUAAAAUUCUCGGAUUUGUUAAAGACUAACUUAUGCGAAAGCAUUUGCCAAGGAUGUUUNCAUUAA
rnacentral:rRNA from 1 species